rnacentral:ncRNA from 2 species
UUCUUAUCCAGAGAGGCGGAGGGACUGGCCCUUUGAUGCCCGGCAACCAUCGAAUCAAUCUAAUGAUUGACGAGAACGGUGCCAAUUCCUGUAGGAUGGUGACAUCCUAAGAGAUGAGAG